rnacentral:misc_RNA from 2 species
GUCUUUAUACCUAUAUCGUCAGUCACACUCAACAAAACGUGUGUCAAUUGAUGUUGACCGUGCUAGCGUUCACGACUAGGUAUCUCUAUACGUCGUAUAAGCCAUAACCAAAGCUUUGGCCGUCAUAACGACAUAACGUGAGCAGAGGUAUACCCACAGCUCGCAGAUCGUGAUGGAGAUGGAUUUCGGUAAUGGCCGCGAUAGUGGACGGUGCUGGUGGUGAUGUUCACUGAUCUCGUGUUCGUGCUACAGGUUGUUUUCGUUUGAAGUAUAACCGUAGUUUCAUUCAAUAAAAUCCUUCUAUCAAACGUCGUCGAAAUAAUAAAUGUCCGAGAUGCCACGAUUUCAUAAGAUAGAAAUCAAUAGAACGGAAUGGGAAGUUCCGGAACGUUAUCAAAUGUUAACACCAGUUGGCUCAGGAGCUUACGGCCAGGUUUGUUCAGCUGUAGAUACAACCAAUGGGCAAAAGGUUGCUAUCAAAAAAUUGGCAAGGCCGUUUCAAUCGGCAGUACAUGCCAAAAGAACAUAUCGAGAAUUACGUAUGCUGAAACAUAUGAAUCACGAAAAUGUGAUUGGCCUGCUCGAUGUAUUCCAUCCAUCCACAUCGCUUGUAGAUUUCCAGCAUGUGUAUUUAGUAACACACUUGAUGGGAGCUGAUUUGAACAAUAUUGUGAGAACUCAGAAGCUAAGCGACGACCAUGUACAAUUUUUAGUCUAUCAGAUACUUCGUGGCUUGAAAUAUAUUCAUUCUGCAGGAAUAAUUCACAGGGAUUUGAAACCGUCAAACAUUGCCGUCAACGAAGAUUGUGAGUUGAAGAUCUUGGACUUUGGUUUAGCACGGCCAACAGAGAAUGAAAUGACGGGAUAUGUGGCAACCAGGUGGUACAGAGCUCCUGAAAUAAUGCUCAACUGGAUGCAUUACAAUCAAACUGUUGAUAUUUGGUCCGUUGGAUGUAUAAUGGCUGAACUACUAACUGGCAGGACACUAUUCCCAGGAACAGAUCUCGCGGUUUGCAAAGACUUGCGUAUUAUCAGUGAAGCCUUAGCAAGAGCAGAUAUUCAUCAGUUGAACCUUAUUAUGGAGAUUCUGGGGACUCCGCGAGAUGAGUUCAUGCAGAAAAUAUCAUCAGAGUCUGCUCGAAAUUAUAUACAGAGUUUACCACCGCUUAAAAAGAAGGAUUUCAAGGAAGUAUUUCGCGGAGCAAAUCCUCUGGAUUGAGAUGUCAGCAGAUGCAUAAUCUGACCCAUCCCUCCCUCACCCCGCACAAGCUAGUCGCUUAUGGGGAAAUACCUUUUUGGCAAUCAACCUAUUGGAACUAAUGCUAGAGUUGGAUGCUGAAAGAAGAAUAACAGCAGAACAAGCUUUGGCACAUCCAUACCUUGCUCAAUACGCAGAUCCUACCGAUGAGCCUGUAUCUUUACCCUAUGAUCAGAGUUUCGA